rnacentral:rRNA from 1 species
UACGGAGGGAGCUAGCGUUAUUCGGAAUUACUGGGCGUAAAGCGCACGUAGGCGGCUUUGUAAGUUAGAGGUGAAAGCCUGGAGCUCAACUCCAGAAUUGCCUUUAAGACUGCAUCGCUUGAAUCCAGGAGAGGUGAGUGGAAUUCCGAGUGUAGAGGUGAAAUUCGUAGAUAUUCGGAGGAACACCAGUGGCGAAGGCGGCUCACUGGUCCAUUACUGACGCUGAGGUGCGAAAGCGUGGGGAGCAAACAGGG